AAGGAUGCCCGUCUACGGACCUGCGACGAGGUGCUGCAUGGUUGUCGUCAGCUCGUGCCGUGAGGUGUCGGCUUAAGUGCCAUAACGAGCGCAACCCCUACCGCCAGUUGCCAACAGGCAAAGCUGGGGACUCUGGCGGGACUGCCGGCGCAAGCUGCGAGGAAGGCGGGGAUGACGUCAAAUCAGCACGGCCCUUACGUCCGGGGCGACACACGUGUUACAAUGGCAGGUACAGCGGGAAGCCACCUGGCGACAGGGAGCGGAACCCGAAAGCCUGUCUCAGUUCGGAUUGGAGUCUGCAACCCGACUCCAUGAAGCUGGAUUCGCUAGUAAUCGCGCAUCAGCCACGGCGCGGUGAAUACGUUCCCGGGCCUUGUACACACCGCCCGUCAAGCCAUGGGAGUCGGGAGUGCCUGAAGUGCGUGAGCGCGAGCAGCGCCCUAGGGCAAAACCGAUGACUGGGGCUAAGUCGUAACAAGGUAGCCGU
rnacentral:rRNA from 1 species